rnacentral:rRNA from 1 species
AGAGUUUGAUCCUGGCUCAGGACGAACGCUGGCGGCGUGCCUAACACAUGCAAGUCGAACGGACGAGGCCCCUUCGGGGACCGAGUUAGUGGCGGACGGGUGAGUAACGCGUGAGCAACCUGCCUUUCAGAGGGGGACAACAGUUGGAAACGACUGCUAAUACCGCAUGAUGCAGCGAGAUCGCAUGGUCUUGCUGUCAAAGAUUUAUCGCUGAAAGAUGGGCUCGCGUCUGAUUAGCUAGUUGGAGGGGUAACGGCCCACCAAGGCGACGAUCAGUAGCCGGACUGAGAGGUUGAACGGCCACAUUGGGACUGAGAUACGGCCCAGACUCCUACGGGAGGCAGCAGUGGGGAAUAUUGGGCAAUGGGGGAAACCCUGACCCAGCAACGCCGCGUGAAGGAAGAAGGCUUUCGGGUUGUAAACUUCUUUUACCAGGGACGAAGAACGUGACGGUACCCGGAGAAAAAGCCACGGCUAACUACGUGCCAGCAGCCGCGGUAAUACGUAGGUGGCAAGCGUUGUCCGGAUUUACUGGGUGUAAAGGGCGUGUAGGCGGAGCUGCAAGUCGGAUGUGAAAUCUGGGGGCUUAACCCUCAAACUGCAUUUGAAACUGUAGCCCUUGAGUAUCGGAGAGGCAGGCGGAAUUCCUAGUGUAGCGGUGAAAUGCGUAGAUAUUAGGAAGAACACCAGUGGCGAAGGCGGCCUGCUGGACGACAACUGACGCUGAGGCGCGAAAGCGUGGGGAGCAAACAGGAUUAGAUACCCUGGUAGUCCACGCUGUAAACGAUGAAUACUAGGUGUGGGGGGACUGACCCCCUCCGUGCCGGAGUUAACACAAUAAGUAUUCCACCUGGGGAGUACGACCGCAAGGUUGAAACUCAAAGGAAUUGACGGGGGCCCGCACAAGCAGUGGAUUAUGUGGUUUAAUUCGACGCAACGCGAAGAACCUUACCGGGAUUUGACAUCCUACUAACGAAGCAGAGAUGCAUUAGGUGCCCUUCGGGGAAAGUAGAGACAGGUGGUGCAUGGUUGUCGUCAGCUCGUGUCGUGAGAUGUUGGGUUAAGUCCCGCAACGAGCGCAACCCCUAUUGUUAGUUGCUACGCAAGAGCACUCUAGCGAGACUGCCGUUGACAAAACGGAGGAAGGCGGGGACGACGUCAAAUCAUCAUGCCCCUUAUGUCCCGGGCUACACACGUAAUACAAUGGCGGUCAACAAAGGGAAGCAAAGCCGCGAGGCAGAGCAAACCCCCAAAAGCCGUCUCAGUUCGGAUUGCAGGCUGCAACUCGCCUGCAUGAAGCUGGAAUUGCUAGUAAUCGUGGAUCAGAAUGCCACGGUGAAUACGUUCCCGGGCCUUGUACACACCGCCCGUCACACCAUGAGAGUCGGGAACACCCGAAGUCCGUAGUCUAACCCGCAAGGGAGGGCGCGGCCGAAGGUGGGUCUGAUAAUUGGGGUGAAGUCGUAACAAGGUA